CCUUCGUCGACACUCCACUCUCUCUCUCUCUCUCUCUCUUUUUCUCUCUGCGUUUUUAUCAAUCAUCUAAUUCACUCUCUUUCUCUCUCAGUAAAGAGUGAGGAUGAUGGUUUCGGAAAAGAGAGCUUUCGUUCAGCUCCUUUCCUUGUAUCUCUUCAUCCAAUUCUCAGUCACCGCUGCUAAGUUUUUCGAACCAUUCAACGUGACUUACGACCACAGAGCUCUGAUCAUCGAUGGCAAACGCCGCAUGCUCAUCUCAGCUGGAAUUCACUACCCUCGUGCCACUCCUCAGAUGUGGCCUGACCUGAUUGCAAAAAGCAAAGAAGGUGGAGCUGACGUGAUUGAAAGUUAUACAUUUUGGAAUGGGCAUGAACCCGUUAGAGGACAGUAUACUUUUGAAGGAAGGUUUGAUCUUGUCAAGUUUGUGAAGCUAGUGGGAGACAGUGGACUUUAUUUCCUUCUUCGCAUAGGUCCUUAUGUUUGUGCUGAGUGGAAUUUCGGGGGAUUUCCUGUCUGGCUGCGUGAUGUCCCUGGCAUAGAAUUUCGAACAGACAAUGAACCUUUUAAGAGGGAGAUGCAGCGCUUUGUAACAAAAAUUGUGGAUUUGCUGCGGGAGGAAAAGCUCUUUUCCUGGCAGGGUGGUCCUAUAAUUCUGUUGCAGAUUGAGAAUGAAUAUGGAAAUAUGGAGAGGUCAUAUGGCCAGAAGGGGAAAGAUUAUGUCAAGUGGGCUGCUAACAUGGCUCUGGGUCUUCGUGCUGGCGUUCCAUGGGUGAUGUGCAAGCAAACUGAUGCUCCAGGUGAUAUAAUAGAUACCUGCAACGAUUACUACUGUGAUGGUUAUAAACCAAAUUCCCCUAACAAACCAACGAUUUGGACAGAAAAUUGGGAUGGAUGGUACACAUCAUGGGGUGGAAGAUUGCCUCACAGACCUGUUGAAGAUCUUGCAUUUGCAAUCGCACGUUUUUUUCAGCGUGGAGGGAGCUUAAUGAACUAUUAUAUGUAUUUUGGUGGGACAAACUUUGGUCGUACUUCUGGAGGGCCCUUCUAUAUAACUAGUUAUGAUUAUGAUGCUCCAAUUGAUGAAUAUGGUUUGCUGAGUGAGCCGAAAUGGGGACACUUGAAAGAUCUUCAUGCUGCCAUUAGGCUCUGUGAACCUGCUCUAGUUGCUGCUGAUUUACCUCGGUAUAUGAAAUUGGGACCAAAGCAGGAGGCACAUUUAUACUGGGCAAAUAUCCAGACUAAUGGUCUGAACAAUACUCUUUCUGAAAGCCAAAGCGUGUGCUCCGCAUUUCUUGCAAAUAUUGAUGAGCAUAAAGCAGCAACUGUAACAUUCCGUGGUAAAUCAUACACCUUGCCACCGUGGUCAGUGAGCAUUUUACCUGACUGCAGGAACACAGCAUUCAACACCGCCAAGGUUGGAGCACAGACCUCCGUGAAACUGGUAGAGUAUGCCUUGUCUCCAAAAAUAUCUGUACCAGAAUUAGUGAUGACCAAAAAUGAAGUUUCCAGUAUCCCAGAGUCAUGGAUGUCUGUAAAUGAGCCAAUUGGUAUAUGGAGUGUGAACAACUUUACAUUUCAAGGCAUGUUGGAGCAUUUGAAUGUGACAAAGGAUGAAUCUGACUAUCUGUGGCAUAUGACCAGAAUAUAUGUUUCUGAUGAAGACAUCACAUUUUGGGAGGAAAAUCAAGUUAGCCCUACACUUGUUAUUGAUAGCAUGCGUGAUGUAUUGCGGGUAUUUAUUAACGGACAGCUUACAGGCAGUGUAAGUGGUCACUGGGUCAAGGUGGUCCAGCCUGUUCAAUUUCAGCAAGGUUACAGUGAUUUGAUUUUGUUAUCUCAGACAGUUGGUUUGCAGAACUACGGUGCCUUUCUAGAGAAAGAUGGUGCUGGGUUUAGAGGCCAAAUUAAGCUUACUGGAUUUAAAAAUGGGGAUAUAGACCUUUCCAAGCUUUCAUGGACUUACCAGGUUGGUCUGAAGGGUGAGUUCCAGAAAAUAUUCACCAUAGAAGAAAAUGAGAAGGCAGGAUGGACAAAGUUGAAGCGUGAUGCUACUCCCUCCACAUUUACUUGGUACAAGGCAUACUUUGAUGCGCCUGAUGGAAAAGAGCCAGUUGCUUUUGAUUUAGGAAGCAUGGGAAAGGGCCAAGCAUGGGUCAACGGCCACCAUAUUGGAAGAUACUGGAAUCUAGUUGCCCCAAAAGAUGGAUGUUCAAAAAGCUGUGAUUAUCGUGGAGCAUAUAAUCCAAAUAAGUGCAUGACAAAUUGUGGGAAGCCUACUCAAUCCUGGUAUUAUCUCCACUGGAAGCGUACCACAUACCGCGGUCAUGGUUACAGGCAACAAACAAUUUACUUGUGAUAUUUGAGGAAAAUGGUGGGAACCCGUUUGAGAUUUCAGUCAAAUUACGUGUGCCCCGAAUUCUCUGUGCUCAAGUCUCUGAGUCCCACUAUCCGCGUCUGCAAAAAUGGUUCCAUCCAGAUGUUAUUCAUGGAAAAGUGUCCAUAAGUGAUAUGAAACCAGAAAUUCACUUGCAGUGUGAAGAGGGGCAUAUAAUCUCCUCCAUAGAAUUUGCUAGCUAUGGAACUCCUCAUGGCAGCUGCCAGAAUUUUUCUGAAGGCAAUUGCCACUCGCAAAAUUCAUUGUCCAUGGUAUCCAAGGCUUGCAAGGGAAGAAACAGUUGUGUUAUUGAAGUUUCAAACUCUGGGUUUGGAGGUGACCCAUGUAGAGGUAUUGUCAAGACAUUGGCAAUUGAGGCGAGAUGUGUCUCAUCAUCAACUAUUGGAGUCUCCCAGUUCUAAAAUCACAAGCAGCUGGUGCAAUGAAGAUAGUUGUUGACCGGAAACAACCUCUAUUUGUAGCCAACCAGUUGUGAUGGGCAUUUCCGUUACAUAAUGUGCACAAAAUUGCAUGCUCAAACCUCUGCUGUUGGGUUCUCCACCCUAUUUGUGCAUGCAGGUUUUCUGAUUAAUGUAUUUAUAAAUAAAUCGUGUAUUAUAUGUAAUAAUGUGGCGAACCUCAUCUCUCAACUUGGAAAAUUGAAGGGGAGAAAUAGGGUCAGGUUCUUCAACGAUUACUUUAAACCUGGAUUCUGGAUUGUAAUGGCGAAGCCAUGUUAUUUGAUGUUGUGAAUCACAUGUAUAUACAUGAUACUACUUUGACAAUCGAAUCACGGUAGAAUUCUGGCUGCUUC